rnacentral:rRNA from 1 species
AUUGAACGCUGGCGGCAGGCCUAACACAUGCAAGUCGAGCGGAUGAAGGGAGCUUGCUCCUGGAUUCAGCGGCAGACGGGUGAGUAAUGCCUAGGAAUCUGCCUGGUAGUGGGGGAUAACGUCCGGAAACGGGCGCUAAUACCGCAUACGUCCUGAGGGAGAAAGUGGGGGAUCUUCGGACCUCACGCUAUCAGAUGAGCCUAGGUCGGAUUAGCUAGUUGGUGGGGUAAAGGCCUACCAAGGCGACGAUCCGUAACUGGUCUGAGAGGAUGAUCAGUCACACUGGAACUGAGACACGGUCCAGACUACUACGGGAGGCAGCAGUGGGGAAUAUUGGACAAUGGGCGAAAGCCUGAUCCAGCCAUGCCGCGUGUGUGAAGAAGGUCUUCGGAUUGUAAAGCACUUUAAGUUGGGAGGAAGGGCAGUAAGUUAAUACCUUGCUGUUUUGACGUUACCAACAGAAUAAGCACCGGCUAACUUCGUG